rnacentral:lncRNA from 1 species
GGUGCCCAAUUGGGAGUGAAUCCUGUAUGUGAUGGUUCUGUUGGAGGUGCAUGGAUUGGAGUUGAGAAAUCAGAGUGGGUGUGAUGGAUGAUGAUGCAUGGUGUGCGUGUUGGGGUCGUUACGGUGAAAGGAGAGAGGAAUGGAAAAUGGUGUAGUGUCCGAGCUGGAUUUUGAUGCGUGGUGAGGUAUAGGAUUGGGGAUCAGAAAUGGUCUGAAUGGUUGACGAAUAAUGUCGUUGUGGAUGAUGGAUUGGAGCAUGAGGCGUGGGGUGUCUUUGUGUUAGGGUAAUCUUUUCUAUUAUGUCGUGUGGGUGGUUCUGGGUUAGGCAUAGGAGAGGGGUCAUUGUUUGUACGUGUUCCCUGGACGUAACUUCUGGCCAUCAUCUCGUGCUGUGCUGCUUCCCAUUUCUCCAAUUGAAAAUCCAAUUUUGUGUGUCCCCUCCGUGUUGUCCACUUGCACGUGUUCAGGCCGUGACAGUAAAUUGCUGGUCGUGCAACCCCUGAUCCAGCACCCUCCUUUUUUUUAAUAUAUUUUUUUCUUUUUUCUUCUUUUAUUUUCUUUUCUUUCUUUUUUUCGUUUUCUUUCUUUUUUGUUUUCUUUUCUUUUUUCCUUUUUGAAUUAAAUCAAAUAGUAAACCAAAAUUUAAUAAAAUAAAAUCAAAUAAAAAUAAAAAUAAAAUAAAAUAAGACAAAAAUAAAAACUAGUCCUGUUAUUUAGUUACCCAGACGAAAUUGGGUGUUGACACCCUCAAAUAAACAAUGUAUGCAUAAUAUCAAGAGAUCAUUUUAUUCAUAAAAGGAAAGAUUACAUCAACAUCAUAAGGAGAAAC